CGGGAGGAAGGUGCGGAUGACGUCAAGUCAGUAUGGCCCUUACAUCCAGGGCUGCACACGUGCUACAAUGGGUGGGUACAGUGGGACGCAAGACCGCGAGGUGGAGCUAAUCCCAAAACCACCCCCCAGUUCAGAUCGGAGUCUGCAACUCGACUCCGUGAAGCCGGAAUCGCUAGUAAAGGCGUAUCAGCUACGACGCCUUGAAUACGUUCCCGGGCCUU
rnacentral:rRNA from 1 species